GACGAACGCUGGCGGCGUGCUUAACACAUGCAAGUCGAACGGAAAGGCCCUGCAUUUGUGGGGUGCUCGAGUGGCGAACGGGUGAGUAACACGUGAGUAACCUGCCCUUGACUUUGGGAUAACUUCAGGAAACUGGGGCUAAUACCGGAUAGGAGCUCCUGCUGCAUGGUGGGGGUUGGAAAGUUUCGGCGGUUGGGGAUGGACUCGCGGCUUAUCAGCUUGUUGGUGGGGUAGUGGAUUACCAAGGCUUUGACGGGUAGCCGGCCUGAGAGGGUGACCGGCCACAUUGGGACUGAGAUACGGCCCAGACUCCUACGGGAGGCAGCAGUGGGGAAUAUUGCACAAUGGGCGGAAGCCGGAUGCAGCAACGCCGCGUGCGGGAUGACGGCCUUCGGGUUGUAAACCGCUUUCGCCUGUGACGAAGCGUGAGUGACGGUAAUGGGUAAAGAAGCACCGGCUAACUACGUG
rnacentral:rRNA from 1 species